rnacentral:tRNA from 1 species
GCUGGGGUUGUGGCUCAGUGGUAGAGCACUUGCCUGGCAUGUGUGAGGUACUGGGUUUGAUUCUCAGCACGGCA